GGAUCUACACAUUCCGGAACUUCUUUCUUUCUUUCAAAUCGAAAACACUCUCUCCUUUCCUCUUUCUCUCUUUCCGGAAGUUUCAGAGUUUCCCUUCUUAGAUCAAACUGGUACUAGUUGAUAAAGGGAUUUUUAGUUUUUACCGUAUGUCAUGCUUCUUUCCGGAGCUGAUCUACUGAUGUAAUUUUGUCAAAAUUUCCGGCAAGUCACUUAUCGGUAAGUCAUUGGGAAACCGCAAUUGUUUUUCUAGGGUUUAUAUUUUGAGUAAUUACAGUAAAAUCGAAACAUGGUGAACCUCGCCAACUAUGAAAUUCUCUCUAGAAAAGAUACAGAAGAUCAUAUAUCAAACUGUUUGUCUAGACCGGCAGUACUGAAAUUUAGAGGUGGAUGGCAAGAAUUGAAAACACUGCACAACAUAAUCAGCUCUUCGCAUGUCGAAGCGAAGCGAUUCCUUGAUAAUUGCGUUUUCAGUAGACUAUUCCGUGUAGCUAUCAAGAAGAAUGACCAGCGUUUAGCUGAAUGUUUAGUAGAGAGGUGGUGGUAUAGCACUCACACAUUUCAUUUUCCUAAUUUUGAAAUUGGUUUCACUCCGUGGGAUUUUACGAUGUUGACUGGAAUUCCGAUUGGUUUGGGUAAGCCGCCGCCGUUCAGUAAGAACGUUGAAAAGGAGAAGUGGGAUGCUUUUAAAGAAUCGUGUAUAUCGAAUUUAUUUGAUGGGAAAGAUGGGUCAUAUGGGAUUUUGAAGUCGAGGGGAUUAAGGUUGAGUUAUUUGAGAGCUUAUAUUGUUAGUAGAGAAGGUAAAGAUAACACCGAGUGUUGGAAAGAUAUGCUUCGGUGUUUUUUAUUAUGGUUGAUUGGACAAGUUUUAUAUGGAGAAUCGUCUGGAGUGGUUUAUUGUGGAUGGUAUGAAGCUGUACAAGAUUUAGAUAAGUUUGAUAGUUAUGAUUGGGGAACGGCGAUCAUGGCCCGUCUCUAUAGAUCCUUAGAUGAAUGCAGUCGUGGUUCCAAGUCAUUUAGCGGCAUGUGGAUGAUCUUAGAGUAUUGGUUUUACUCGUACUUUCAGGCAUGUACACCUUCACUUGAUGAAGAACAGAUACCUUCUGUAGAUGUAUGGCCUAGGAUUGAAUUGUAUAACAGAGUGAACCGAUCUGAUUCCCAAUGUGAUAUUGGGAAACACUCGUUUCAAUUAGCUCGUCAACAAAUAGAUUUGAGAACUGCAGAAUCAACUAUUUGGAUGCCAUGGGCGAAUAGUAGUUUUAGGGAAGUGGAAUGCAUAGUCGUCAGUCGCCGGUUAUCACAGUGCAGGGUAUUUUUAUAUGAUCCCGAACUAGAUAAAGGUUGGUGGUACCUGGGUGAUAGAUGUUGGCGACAAGUGACUGGGAGCAUAGCCAUUCCUAAUAACCCACCACCUGUUACUGGUUUAGGAAAUUUAGACGGAGCACUAAUUUUCGAUGUGAAAAAUUGGCAAAGUGCUAAAGAUUUUGUGGUCGAGUCUACUGAUGUUGAGUAUUUGACUUUCUGGAGACAUGUUUCAAUUGGUCCAUAUACUGUUGCAUUGAGGUUUGUUGAUAAUCGCGUCGAGGGAAGGCCUGCUGUAACGCAAGAUCAAAAAUUCGAUGUUCUGUGCCCAGCGCCUAUAAAUCAGUGUCGACCCAUGUAUGACAUACCAAUGGAGCAGCCAGUUUCAUCUCUUACAUGUGAUAGGGGUAUGAUUAUUUCUAGCAGUAUGGGUGAACCAAGCACCAUGCAUGUCACCUCAGCAUCACCUAGGAGUAUGGGUGAACCGAGCACCAUACCCGUCACCUCAGCAUCACCUAUUAGUGCGGUUUGGGAUACGGAAAUUGGCUCUGUGAACACGUCAUCUGAACUAGUGGAGCUUUCUUCAUCUUCAACUUCUAAAUUCACUUGGAAGAUUGAAAACUUUUCAAAUUUGAAUGCUCAAGCAGGACUUGUCUCUGAUGUUUUCUCUGUUGGUAGUUUUAAAUGGAAAGCACUUAUUUAUCCAAAGGGGGCGGGUAAGGUAUAUGAUCACUUAUCGUUGUUCCUUUGCCCUGUCGACUUGACUAUGUCACUUUGCGCUCAGUUCAGCUUUGCUGUUACAAGUCAAAUUGAUUGCACUGACAGAAUUAGACAUGAAACAAAAUACAAAUUCCCAGAGAAACUUAGUAACUGCUUUGGUUGGCCGUCAUUCAUGCGCCUUAGUGAACUCCACGACCCUGCUAAAGGAUAUCUUGUAGAUGAUACUUGUAUCAUUAUAGUUGAGGUUACUUGUAGGAUGAAAGAAGACUCAAAUGAGGAUUGCGAAGUGAAAGAGAGCGAUAUGGACAAGGUACCAGAUGCUAAGCGUUGCAAAGUCAAAGGUGAAAUGAAAUAGAACACUAGCAAAAGCGAUUCUGAUUCUGUGAAGUCUUCCUCCUUGCUCUUACCUUCCUGGCCGUUAUGACACUCAGAACCAAAGCAAUCAGAUGUCAUCAUCUUGAAGUACUCCACUGCUUCCCCAACUACCUGGCCUGAGCACGACCGAAGAAGCCCCAAGAACUGAAAGAGAUUUUGGUCUAAUUGUUGGCUUUCUCAUCUCUGUACAAAUCUCACAGCAAUCAGAAUAUCUACCAUGCACGGGAAGUAUCAAUAUGAUCAUGUUAUAGGAGACUAUUUUUCUCGAAAAUCCGGUCAAAAAGCUCCCAGAAAUCUCCUGAACAACCACAUUUCAUAUUCACAGGAGCUGUGCACAGGACCAUGCCAGGAUCUGUUUUAGUGAUCAAUCCCUAUAAUUCUCUGCUGUAAGUAUUAAUCAUCAUCAUCUAACAUUGUACAUUUUACAGGGAUUUUAGAUUCUUAAGACAGACAAGUAGUUGUUUGGGUGUAAAUUUAACAAUGGGUCUCUCCAUGAGUUCUUGAGCAGUCUUAGAAACAUUAAUUGGAAGGAAAAUUCUGCCAAAACAAAGAAUUAUGAGGAUGUGAUAGUAUAUACUUUCUGAAGAAUGUCUGUUGUAAUCUCUCUGUAAUUCUAGUUGUUGAUAGGUUUUUUGUAUUGUUGAUAUUCGUCGGCCAUUUUGCUUGUUGCAAAAACACAGGAUUUUUGUCAACCUUAAUUCCUUACAA